ACGGGGGGCGCAAGCGUUAUUCGGAAUUAUUGGGCGUAAAGGGCGCGUAGGCGGUCUUAUCAGUCAGAUGUGAAAGCCCGGGGCUCAACCCUGGAAGUGCAUUUGAAACAGUAAGACUUGAGUACGGGAGAGGAAAGCAGAAUUCCUGGUGUAGAGGUGAAAUUCGUAGAUAUCAGGAGGAACACCGAUGGCGAAGGCAGCUUUCUGGACCGAUACUGACGCUGAGGCGCGAAGGCGUGGGGAGCGAACGGG
rnacentral:rRNA from 1 species